rnacentral:rRNA from 1 species
AAUCAUUUGUCUUUUAAAUGGAGACUCGUAUGAACGGCGAAACCUUUUUCAACUGUCUCCCCUCCCACCCUUUUAAAUUUCUUCCUGUGUGAAGAAGCACAGAUAUAUUAGAAAGACGAGAAGACCCUGUCGAGCUUUAGUCACCAAGUGGACCGCUUCCUUUUAAGGUACCACCUAAAGGCUUUGGUUGGGGCAACCAUGGAGAAAAAAAAUCCUCCAGAACAAAUAGAAGAAAACGCUUCACUAUUUAUUAAAAUUAAGAACCAGGAACUGGUAUUCGGAAAAAGUUACCGCAGGGAUAACAGCGUCAUCUCCUCUAAGAGUCCUUAUUGACGAGGAGGUUUGCGACCUCGAUGUUGGAUUGGGGCCCCCUUAGGGUGCAGAAGCUCUAAACGGUUAGACUGUUCGUCUAUUAAAGCCCUACAUGAUCUGAGUUCAAACCGGAG